CAUCUGAGAUAAGUCCUGCCAGGAAUCCUGUUUCUGUGAAUGUCCUGGAGGGGACUGCUGAUGUUUGAAGCAAGGUUUCUGGGUAGUAAAUUAUUCUUUCCAUCUGCAGAAUCUGGGGUAGGAAUUCCUAAUCUUGCAUGGGGGUGAGUGUCCCAUAAUUUUGCCUUUGGGCACGUGGGAGAAGACCCCUGCCUAUGCUGUCUUCUCACGCUCUGGAGGUUUUCUAAGAACACUCAUUUUCCAUCAUUUUUCCCUGGGCAUAUCUGGGAACAUUAAUUAAUUCAUUUAUGCAACACAUUUGAAAGCUGUGCUUAUUGUAUGCAAGUCCAUACUUUGGCACUGGGGAAACUGCAGUCAAGGAGACAGGCCAGCCCCUGUGCCCGUUGAGUUUACGCGCAGUGGGGAAGUCAGGUAGAAGACAGACAAUCAUUGUAAGCGAGGAGUCCUGUGAAGGACAGGAAGAGGGGGUGAAAAGAGGGCAUGUGGGGUCACUUUAUGCUUCUAACUUUUAUUUUGUAGUGAUUUUUGAUUUUGAGAUUAAGAGAAAAAUUGUUGCAAGAACAGUAAGAGACUUUCCAUAUUUCUUACCCAACUUUCCCUAAUGAUGACAUUUUACAUAACCAAACCACAGUACAGUGUUCAAAACCAGGAAACUGAUAUUGGUACAAUACUAUUAAGUACAUUAUAGACCUUUCUAGAAUUUUGCCAGUUUUCCCACGUAUGUCCUUUUUCUGUUCCAGGAUUCCAUCCCGGAUACCUCAUCACAUUUCCUUGUUAGGGCUCCCUGAUCUGCUUUGACCUGUAACAAGUGCUAAGCCAUUCUUUGUCUUUCAUGCCCUUGCCAUCAUGAAGGUCAUCGGUCAGGAGCUGGAAUGGAGCCUGGACAGAGCAAGCACCACACGACGGUUUGUUGAGUGAAUUCAGGAAAAUAUCAAAGAAUUCCAUAGUAAGGAACCAAACAUCACAGGCCUUAGAUCUCCAUGAAACAUGCAGAGGUGGCGUGGGAAGAAACUGGAAUUUGGAAUCCACGGUCUGGAUGAUACCGCAGAUGUGCUGUGUAGCCCUGGGUUGCUUAUUUAACCUCUCUGAGCCCAUGGCUGGUAAAACAGCUUCACAAGUUGCUACAUGGAUGAAAUGAGUAUUGAAAGGACUAUGGAACUUCAAAUGUUAAUUUUUAUUCAAAAACAGAGACACCUUUGGUUGGCUUUAAAAAUCUGUUUCUGGGUCUCGUGUGUCUAUAGACAGGUG